UAUGGUCAUAUGACACCUAAUGUCUUGAGAGUUGUUGAAAAGUUGAAUUGAUACUGAAUUAGUGUAUAAAAAGUGAUAUACAUGAAGUAAUGCUCUGGCAGCUUUGAGUAAUCUCAAUUUUGGACUUGUUGUUACAACCCCUGUGUCUGCACUAAUUAUUAUCAUAUGCAUAUUUUUAAAAUAAAUUUAGAUUCAAAAAUUACCCUUUUAA